UCCAUGGCCGGUUUUCUUCAAGAGAGAGUUCAACCGGACCUGGCCCUUCCUUGUUGGUUUCGCUGUAACUGGAACCAUCAUCACCAAGUUCUCACUCGGUCUCACUGAGGAAGAUGCCAAGAACUCGCCUUUCGCUCAGAAGCACAAGAGGUGAUCCCAAUUGAAUUCAAAUGCUCAUCUGGUUUGAGACUUUUAGUUGUUUCCAUUCUUUUCGUUUUUCAAUUAACUGCAAAAAUAACAUGGUACAUCAUCAGUUGUGAGUAUUCUACUCUAGUUAUGAAUUGCUAUUCUUGUAUCGCCAUUAAGGUUUUUUUGCCUUUGAAUAAUGUUAAAACACCUUUACGGUUAGUCUUCAGGCCUGGUAUCCUUUGAUAUUGGAUGAUCAUUUUGAGAAUAAUAAUAAACAUGAAAAUUUAUGCCA